rnacentral:rRNA from 1 species
UCGAGGAUCUUCGGCAAUGGGCGCAAGCCUGACCGAGCGACGCCGCGUGUGCGACGAAGGCCUUCGGGUUGUAAAGCACUGUCGAGGGGGAGGAAAGCCCGCAAGGGUCUGACCUAUCCCUGGAGGAAGCACGGGCUAAGUUCGUGCCAGCAGCCGCGGUAAGACGAACCGUGCGAACGUUGUUCGGAAUCACUGGGCUUAAAGGGCGCGUAGGCGGGCUGCCAAGUCCGGGGUGAAAUCCCCCCGCUCAACGGGGGAAUGGCCUGGGAUACCGGCGGCCUCGAGGGGGGUAGGGGCGUGCGGAACUGUGGGUGGAGCGGUGAAAUGCGUUGAUAUCCACAGGAACUCCGGUGGCGAAGGCGGCACGCUGGACCCCUCCUGACGCUGAGGCGCGAAAGCCAGGGGAGCGAAC